CUACGGGACGCAGCAGUGGGGAAUAUUGCACAAUGGAGGAAACUCUGAUGCAGCAACGCCGCGUGGAGGAUGACACUUUUCGGAGCGUAAACUCCUUUUAUAUAGGAAGAAGAUGACGGUACUAUAUGAAUAAGCGCCGGCUAACUCCGUGCCAGCAGCCGCGGUAAUACGGAGGGCGCAAGCGUUACUCGGAAUCACUGGGCGUAAAGAGCGUGUAGGCGGAUUAAAAAGUCAGAAGUGAAAUCCUAUAGCUUAACUAUGGAACUGCUUCUGAAACUCUUAAUCUAGAAUAUGGGAGAGGUAGAUGGAAUUUCUGGUGUAGGGGUAAAAUCCGUAGAGACCAGAAGGAAUACCGAUUGCGAAGGCGAUCUACUAGAACAUUAUUGACGCUGAGACGCGAAAGCGUGGGGAGCAAACAGGAUUAGAUACCCUGGUAGUC
rnacentral:rRNA from 1 species